GGGGUUUCACCGUGUUAGCCAGGAUGGUCUUGAUCUUGUGACCUCGUGAUCCGCCUGUCUCGGCCUCCCAAAGUGCUGGGAUUACAGGCUUGAGCCACCGCGCCCAGCCGAGAGUUAUGUUUUAGAAAUGAAACUCUUCGGGGUCUUGUUUGGGGCUCCAAGCUUGAUAUAGAAGACUAUCAUACCCAGAGAGGGUAACUGAAACGAAAGAAAUUACUCCAGCAUCAAGCUAAAGACACGCCUUAAAGGAUGAGGAGGAGCAGAAAUCUUACCAGCAAGGCCAGAAAGAAGCUGUGCAUGAACAGCCUCUACUUUAGGCUCAGAAGGAAAAGAAGUUUACAGGAGACAAUCACUCUUAUACUCUUCCAUGGUCACAAACAAGAGGUCCCUGGAUCUGUAGGUGAGCAAGAGGUGAUCUGGGAUUUGGAGUCGGUACUGCAUUCUGAAUUCCCUGGCACAAUUAAAAGGCAAUAGAGCUAACAGUAGAAUCACCAAUUAUC
rnacentral:lncRNA from 1 species